rnacentral:tRNA from 1 species
UGCGCGCCCAGGCCGACUCGGCCCAGUCCGGCUCCGGCUCCGGCUCGGUGACGGUGGCCGGCGGUGCGGUGACCGGUUCGACGCCGGAACCCGCGG